UCCUACGGGAGGCAGCAGUGGGGGAUAUUGCACAAUGGGGGAAACCCUGAUGCAGCGACGCCGCGUGGAGGAAGAAGGUUUUCGGAUUGUAAACUCCUGUCGUUAGGGACGAUAAUGACGGUACCUAACAAGAAAGCACCGGCUAACUACGUGCCAGCAGCCGCGGUAAAACGUAGGGUGCAAGCGUUGUCCGGAAUUACUGGGUGUAAAGGGAGCGCAGGCGGGAAGACAAGUUGGAAGUGAAAACCAUGGGCUCAACCCAUGAAUUGCUUUCAAAACUGUUUUUCUUGAGUAGUGCAGAGGUAGAUGGAAUUCCCGGUGUAGCGGUGGAAUGCGUAGAUAUCGGGAGGAACACCAGUGGCGAAGGCGGUCUACUGGGCACCAACUGACGCUGAGGCUCGAAAGCAUGGGUAGCAAACAGGAUUAGAUACCCUGGUAGUCCAUGCCGUAAACGAUGAUUACUAGGUGUUGGGGGAUUGACCCCCUCAGUGCCGCAGUUAACACAAUAAGUAAUCCACCA
rnacentral:rRNA from 1 species